GACGAACGCUGGCGGCGUGCCUAAUACAUGCAAGUAGAACGCUGAAGAGAGGAGCUUGCUCUUCUUGGAUGAGUUGCGAACGGGUGAGUAACGCGUAGGUAACCUGCCUUGUAGCGGGGGAUAACUAUUGGAAACGAUAGCUAAUACCGCAUAACAAUGGAUGACACAUGUCAUUUAUUUGAAAGGUGCAAUUGCUCCACUACAAGAUGGACCUGCGUUGUAUUAGCUAGUAGGUGAGGUAAUGGCUCACCUAGGCGACGAUACAUAGCCGACCUGAGAGGGUGAUCGGCCACACUGGGACUGAGACACGGCCCAGACUCCUACGGGAGGCAGCAGUAGGGAAUCUUCGGCAAUGGGGGCAACCCUGACCGAGCAACGCCGCGUGAGUGAAGAAGGUUUUCGGAGCGUAAAGCUCUGUUGUAAGUCAAGAACGGGUGUGAGAGUGGAAAGGUCACACUGUGACGGUAGCUUACCAGAAAGGGACGGCUAACUACGUGC
rnacentral:rRNA from 1 species